rnacentral:rRNA from 1 species
AUACGGAGGGGGCUAGCGUUGUUCGGAAUUACUGGGCGUAAAGCGUACGCAGGCGGAUUGUUAAGUUAGAGGUGAAAUCCGAGGGCUCAACCCUGGAACUGCCUUUAAAACUGGCAAUCUAGAGUUAUGGAGAGGUAAGUGGAGUUCCUAGUGUAGAGGUGAAAUUCGUAGAUAUUAGGAGGAACACCAGAGGCGAAGGCGGCUUACUGGACAUAUACUGACGCUGAGGUACGAAAGUGUGGGGAGCGAACGGGAUUAGAAACCCUUGUAGUCC